GACCCUUUUGUUUUUUCUAUUGAUUGCUCAGUUCGUGAGGGGAGAUCUGGACCGGAUGAACACUGCACUUAAAUGAAAAUUAGUCAUCAACCAGGGCACAAAUUUAUCCGGAGAUGCCAAACCGUAGAGCUGAACUUUUUUUGGAUGAGAGAUUCAGAGCAAGGGGGAUGGAUCAUGGAUGCAAUGCAAACAGCUGGCCUGAGAAACCUGCCACGCCAGCCUUUGUGGGAGAAGGAAGGCAAUGAGCGGAGCGCACCAGGGGAGCAGAGGCCACGGCACCACUACAGCAGCCCACCACAUGCAAUCCCAUGGCACCAGUAGGUUAAUGGACUUUCGGCAAGUGCGCCAGCCUUUUUCCACUUGCAAGGAACAAAAGGUGGUAAGCGAUGGCUGCAAUCAGGUCACCUAACUGGGGUUCAUCGUGGUUGCGUGCUAAGCCUGGGCGUUGAUGCCGGAAUUAAUCCUUUGGGACACACAGGAGAAAGGACGGGCAUAAUGAGGUGGUUUCUGGGAGGGCUGGUAAUAAUAAUAUUAAUAAUAUAUUAUAUUCA